rnacentral:rRNA from 1 species
ACCCGCACAAGCGGUGGAGUAUAGUGGUUUAAUUCGAUGCAACGCGAAGAACCUUACCUGGUCUUGACAUCCCAGAAAUCCCUUGGAAACUUGGGAGUGCUUCCAUUAGGAAGAAUCUGGAGACAGGUGCUGCAUGGCUGUCGUCAGCUCGUGUCGUGAGAUGUUCGGUUAAGUCCGCUAACGAGCGCAACCCUCGCUGUGUGUUACAAGUGUCACACAGUACUGCCGAUAUUAAGUCGGAGGAAGGUGGGGAUGACGUCAAGUCAGCAUGACCUUUAUAUCCAGGGCUACACACACGCCACAAUGGCCAGUACAAUGGGUUGCCAAGCCGCGAGGCGGAGCCAAUCCUAAAAAGCUGGCCUCAGUUCAGAUUGCAGUCUGCAACUCGACUGCAUGAAGUUGGAGUUGCUAGUAACCGCAGGUCAGCAAUACUGCGGUGAAUACGUUCCCGGGGAUU